UGACAUCUAACAGAUUAAUACUUGAUGUCAACGUUGGGGCUCUGUUAAAUUUUGAAGAACAGGAACGUCACAGCAAGAAUCCUCAGCCGUUUGAUCAAAAUGUCCUACAGAAUUGCUUGCACAACACAUUGCCUGCUUUGGUGAAUCUGGAUAAAUGCAAGUCGAUAAUGGUACCUAUGCUUAGCAGGGGUCAUUGGACACUGUAUGUGAUCAAUCUACACCACCGGGUUAUACACAUUUUAGAUUCGAAUCCCUAUGGUAUACAACUUGGUGGCACCGAAUGGAAGGACUAUCAUUAUGAUCCAAUUUAUUUAGGUGGCAGGAAAUUCCCAUGGGCUAGGGUGAUAAUGAGUAGGCUGAGCAAAGCGUUACAACACGUUUGCCCCAACGCAGAAUUUCCUAAGUUUGGUAAUUUUCCAUUGGAUAUGCCAUCUAACUGCCCAACAAUGAGGACAGGGUCAAAUGACUGUGGAUUUUUUGUGAUGAGUUACAUGAAAUCUUAUGAUCACAAUGCAGGUGUCAUAUCUUCCUUCAAUCAACCAGACAAUUCCCGAGACCUACGUGCUCAUGCCCUUCAUCAACUCACAUUCCAUCGCAUCAACAAGGCGUUGCCACUUCCAUUAGAUAUCCAGAGAUUUAUGUUUGCGCGCAAUUAGUGAACUAUGUCAGAUCUAAGCAAUGGUGUGGGCAAUGUACCGUACUGUGGUAUUUUGGCCAUUUUGUUCAG